AGAAUCUCUGUGCUGGGUGCUGGGACAGUGGAAAUGCUGACUGAGAGGCCCAGAGUGCUGGGAAGGCCUGCAGGAAGCCUUCCAGGGGACCUGGGGACACCGAGCUGCUAGUGCCCUCUGCCUGGAACUGCGCGGCCUGGCCUGAAGCCUUCAGAUCUUUUCUUGUUCCCUGUUCUGCAGAGUCGGCUUGAUCAGGAUGAUGGUGAGAGUGUGGCCAGCCAGCCUCUGACCCAGCUUCCGACCCUCAUUCAUUUGUGAUAUAGUCGAUGUUGUUGCUAAAUAUAAAACAAUUUACCUGCACUUAGGAAGGAAGCGGCUUGAUACACUGUGCGGCCACAGGGUGUGUGUCUGUUCUGCUUUCCCCCGCUGGGUCUCUUCCCAAACCCCCACUCGGUGAGACAGCCCUACCUGGUGAGGUGAGAUGCAGGUUGGGAUGGUGGCUGCUCCCUGCCCUUUGUCACCCCUCCUGCCCCUCCUGCCUGCUUCGCC
rnacentral:lncRNA from 1 species